rnacentral:rRNA from 1 species
UUUAAAGAGAGUUUGAUCCUGGCUCAGGACGAACGCUGGCGGCGUGCCUAAUACAUGCAAGUCGAACGAACGGAGGAAGAGCUUGCUCUUCCAAAGUUAGUGGCGGACGGGUGAGUAACACGUGGGCAACCUGCCUGUAAGUUGGGGAUAACUCCGGGAAACCGGGGCUAAUACCGAAUGAUAGAGUGUGGCGCAUGCCACGCUUUUGAAAGAUGGUUUCGGCUAUCGCUUACAGAUGGGCCCGCGGUGCAUUAGCUAGUUGGUAGGGUAAUGGCCUACCAAGGCAACGAUGCAUAGCCGACCUGAGAGGGUGAUCGGCCACACUGGGACU